GACGAACGCUGGCGGCGUGCUUAACACAUGCAAGUCGAACGGUAAGGCCCUUCGGGGUACACGAGUGGCGAACGGGUGAGUAACACGUGGGUGAUCUGCCCUGCACUUCGGGAUAAGCCUGGGAAACUGGGUCUAAUACCGGAUAGGACCCUGGGAUGCAUGUCCUGGGGUGGAAAGCUUUUGCGGUGUGGGAUGGGCCCGCGGCCUAUCAGCUUGUUGGUGGGGUGACGGCCUACCAAGGCGACGACGGGUAGCCGGCCUGAGAGGGAGACCGGCCACACUGGGACUGAGAUACGGCCCAGACUCCUACGGGAGGCAGCAGUGGGGAAUAUUGCACAAUGGGCGCAAGCCUGAUGCAGCGACGCCGCGUGAGGGAUGACGGCCUUCGGGUUGUAAACCUCUUUCGGCACCGACGAAGCGCAAGUGACGGUAGGUGCAGAAGAAGGACCGGCCAACUACGUGCCAGCAGCCGCGGUAA
rnacentral:rRNA from 1 species